rnacentral:lncRNA from 1 species
AGUGUGUUUGUGAUCCCAUUACAAAUAAGUAAAGGGAGCUUCUUGCUGCUGCCGGCACUGGGAAUGGGAACAGGAAUGGAAAUGGCCAUGGAGUUGGGGGCACAUUUGAUGGAUUUGCAUGUGCUGUGACACAAGUCACUAAAAUAUCUUAUUACACUCACAUGCAGAUACAGCUACAGCUACAGAUACAGCUACAGAUAUGUACAGCCACACAGAGAGAUAUGCGACAGCUACGACAGACGGCUAUGGCGGCGGCUACACAUGUGUGCACUGAAAGAAAAGGAAAAGAAUGUACUGAAAAUGUGGGAAUAAAGUGAAGUGAUGCAAUAGAAAUGAGAGGAGUAUCCAGUGGAGUAACUACGAGGAACAAUAUCACGGAAAUGCGUUAUAAAAAUUACAUCUGGGGACGGG